rnacentral:tRNA from 1 species
CCUUCGAUAGCUCAGUUGGUAGAGCGGUGGACUGUAGAGUAUACGAAUAGAAAGAAAUCCAUAGGUCGCUGGUUCAAAUCCGGCUCGAAGGA